rnacentral:rRNA from 1 species
GAUGAACGCUGGCGGCGUGCCUAAUACAUGCAAGUCGAGCGAACAGACGAGGAGCUUGCUCCUCUGACGUUAGCGGCGGACGGGUGAGUAACACGUGGAUAACCUACCUAUAAGACUGGGAUAACUUCGGGAAACCGGAGCUAAUACCGGAUAACAUGUUGAACCGCAUGGUUCAACAGUGAAAGACGGUCUUGCUGUCACUUAUAGAUGGAUCCGCGCCGCAUUAGCUAGUUGGUAAGGUAACGGCUUACCAAGGCAACGAUGCGUAGCCGACCUGAGAGGGUGAUCGGCCACACUGGAACUGAGACACGGUCCAGACUCCUACGGGAGGCAACAGUAGGGAAUCUUCCGCAAUGGGCGAAAGCCUGACGGAGCAACGCCGCGUGAGUGAAGAAGGUCUUCGGAUCGUAAAACUCUGUUAUUAGGGAAGAACAAAUGUGUAAGUAACUAUGCACGUCUUGACGGUACCUAAUCAGAAAGCCACGGCUAACUACGUG